UCCGGUUGUUCUGCCACGUUUGAGCGGGCGAGCCUGGCGGCCGGGAGACGCCGGGGAACGGGGCUGGUGGGGUGCAGAGGCGCGGUUCCGUCGCCUUCCGCCCUGCGGUGGGGGCUCGGGGCAAGUGGGGGGACGGCAGAGGCGGUGUUCGGUGCAGGGCCGCGCCCUGGGCUCCUGAAAAUCCAGGGCUGCAGUCAUUUGAAGGCUUGACUAGGGCUAGAGGAUUUUCAUCCAAGAUGGCUCACUCACCCAGCUGUCGGCAGGAGACCUCAGUUCUUUGCCACACGGACUUCUCCAUAAGACUUUAGACAGAGCCACCCCGUGUUGCCCAGGCUGGAGUGUAGUGAUGCGAUCUUAGCUCACUGCAGCUUUGAGUUCCUGGGUGUGGCACAAGCAGGUCUUGAACUCGUGGCCUCAAGCGAUUCUCCUGCCUUGGCCUCCCAAGCUGCUGGGAUUACAGGCGUGAGCCACUGCACCCAGCUGGAACGCACAUUCUAAGUUACAAGAUCAAAUAACAAGGGAAAGAAGACUUGAUUAUGCAUACACACAAAAAAAGAAAGUGUUAUCAAAACUGACAAGAAAAA
rnacentral:lncRNA from 1 species